GUGGUAGACAGAUGGAUGGUAGUGUGGUGGUAGACAGAGAGAUGGUAGUGUGGUGGUAGACAGAUGGAUGGUAGUGUGGUAUUAUACAGAGAGAUGGUAGUGUGGUGGAGGUAGACAGAGAGAUGGUAGUGUGGAGGUAGACAGAGAGAUGGUAGUGUGGUGGUAGACAGAUGGAUGGUAGUGUGGUAUUAUACAGAGAGAUGGUAGUGUGGUGGUAGACAGAGAGAUGGUAGUGUGGUGGUAGACAGAGAGAUGGUAGUGUGGUAUUAUACAUAGAGAUGGUAGUGUGGUGGUGGUAGACAGAGAGAUGGUAGUGUGGUGGUAGACAGAGAGAUGGUAGUGUGGUGGUAGACAGAGAGAUGGUAGUGUGGUGGUAGACAGAGAGAUGGUAAUGUGGAGGUAGACAGAGAGAUGGUAGUGUGGUGGUAGACAGAGAGAUGGCAAUGUGGUGGUGGUAGACAGAGCGAUGGUAGUGUGGUGGUGGUAGA
ensembl:lncRNA